CUGAGGGAGCAGAGGGAGGAUUUGAAGGAGGAGGAGGAGGAGGAGGAGGAGGGGGCUGACUCGACUUUAAGGACAGGAACUCCUGAGUCCUUUCCUAUCAAACUCCUCCACCAGCCUCCUGUCAGACCUCCUCCUCCUCCUCCUCCUCCUCUCCUCCCUCUGACUUUUCU
rnacentral:miRNA from 1 species